AGAGUUUGAUCAUGGCUCAGGAUGAACGCUGGCGGCGUGCUUAACACAUGCAAGUCGAGCGAAGCACUUAUGAUGAUCCUUCGGGUGAUUCAUUUGUGACUGAGCGGCGGACGGGUGAGUAACGCGUGAGUAACCUGCCUCAUACAGGGGAAUAACAGUUAGAAAUGACUGCUAAUGCCGCAUAAGCGCACAGGGCCGCAUGGCCCGGUGUGAAAAACUCCGGUGGUAUGAGAUGGACUCGCGUCUGAUUAGCUAGUUGGUAGGGUAACGGCCUACCAAGGCGACGAUCAGUAGCCGGCCUGAGAGGGUGAACGGCCACAUUGGGACUGAGACACGGCCCAAACUCCUACGGGAGGCAGCAGUGGGGAAUAUUGCACAAUGGGGGAAACCCUGAUGCAGCGACGCCGCGUGAGUGAAGAAGUAUUUCGGUAUGUAAAGCUCUAUCAGCAGGGAAGAAAAUGACGGUACCUGACUAAGAAGCCCCGGCUAACUACGUGCCAGCAGCCGCGGUAAUACGUAGGGGGCAAGCGUUAUCCGGAUUUACUGGGUGUAAAGGGAGCGUAGACGGCUUUGCAAGUCUGACGUGAAACUCCGGGGCUCAACUCCGGAACUGCGUUGGAAACUGUAAGGCUUGAGUGCCGGAGAGGUAAGCGGAAUUCCUAGUGUAGCGGUGAAAUGCGUAGAUAUUAGGAGGAACACCAGUGGCGAAGGCGGCUUACUGGACGGCAACUGACGUUGAGGCUCGAAAGCGUGGGGAGCAAACAGGAUUAGAUACCCUGGUAGUCCACGCGGUAAACGAUGAAUACUAGGUGUUGGGGGACAAAGUCCUUCGGUGCCGCCGCAAACGCAUUAAGUAUUCCACCUGGGGAGUACGUUCGCAAGAAUGAAACUCAAAGGAAUUGACGGGGACCCGCACAAGCGGUGGAGCAUGUGGUUUAAUUCGAAGCAACGCGAAGAACCUUACCAAGUCUUGACAUCGAUUCGACGGGAGUGUAAUGACUCCUUUCCCUUCGGGGACGAAGAAGACAGGUGGUGCAUGGUUGUCGUCAGCUCGUGUCGUGAGAUGUUGGGUUAAGUCCCGCAACGAGCGCAACCCUUAUAUUCAGUAGCCAGCGAGUAAGGUCGGGCACUCUGGAGAGACUGCCAGGGACAACCUGGAGGAAGGUGGGGAUGACGUCAAAUCAGCACGGCCCUUACGUCCGGGGCUACACACGUGUUACAAUGGGGGGUACAGAAGGCGGCUACCUGGUGACAGGAUGCUAAUCCCAAAAACCUCUCUCAGUUCGGAUCGAAGUCUGCAACCCGACUUCGUGAAGCUGGAUUCGCUAGUAAUCGCGCAUCAGCCAUGGCGCGGUGAAUACGUUCCCGGGCCUUGUACACACCGCCCGUCAAGCCAUGAAAGCCGGGGGUACCUGAAGUACGUAACCGCAAGGAGCGUCCUAGGGUAAAACUGGUAAUUGGGGCUAAGUCGUAGCAAGGUA
rnacentral:rRNA from 1 species